CGGUGAGUAACACGUGAGUAACCUGCCCUUGACUUUGGGAUAACUUCAGGAAACUGGGGCUAAUACCGGAUAGGAGCUCCUGCUGCAUGGUGGGGGUUGGAAAGUUUCGGCGGUUGGGGAUGGACUCGCGGCUUAUCAGCUUGUUGGUGGGGUAGUGGCUUACCAAGGCUUUGACGGGUAGCCGGCCUGAGAGGGUGACCGACCACAUUGGGACUGAGAUACGGCCCAG
rnacentral:rRNA from 1 species